ACAGAGACGUGAAUGUCAUUCCAACAGAUGGUACGUUACAAAUAUUAACACUGCUUUUACGAGUCCCAUACCAAAUGGUACAGUACAUAAUGGAGACAUAUGCACUUCAUUUGUCAUUCGAACCGAUGGUGCCUCAUACGCAUUUAUAGCAAUGCAUUUUAUCACCACAAAUGUUUGUGAUGUGCUGUCUUUUGGAAAGACAAAUGCAGUUCAUUUUCUUACUACACGCAUUACAGAAUACAUUCCAAUAGAUGGUGCACUGCAAAAUUUACUGCUGAGGACUAUGUUGAUUACUUUGAUUUCAACAUAUUGUGGUCAAGUGAGGUACAACACGAGUUCCAAAAUAAACUUUGGGGUGCAAACCGGGCCACCCUGUAUAAUAAUGGUGCCAGAAAUAGCGUUCAGUGAACCAACAGGGAAAAAAAAAAAAGAUAAAAAUCCUAGGCUCCAUUGCCUUUCUUCUGCCGUCAGGUCUGGAGUAGAGCUCCAUCCUGCACUGAGUCUACGACCAAAUUAGACCUUCCUGGACCACCUCGAAUUAUAGUCCUUCAUUCGGAAAGAGCAAAGUCAGUUCCCUUCAUUGGGCCGUUGGGCAUCUUCUCAUAGCUGUGGGUAGAGAGAGUCAAUACCAUUAAUGACAGCACCCCUUCUCGGCCUCGGAUAAGCCUGGAUAGUGACAUAAUUCCAAAAAUGGUAUUUUUCAGUCUGAGAGAACUCUUAAAACGUUGAGAGCCAUCAAAAUCUUGAAAUCGAAUUUUUGGACGAUUACAAUACUUUCCUUACCAUUCGUAUACGAGAAAGUCCGGGAGGUCUAAAACGUCGAGAUUCAUCAAAAUCUCGACAUCCAAUCUUUGGACGAUUACAAUACUUUCCCUAUACGUAAUAUAUGAGAAAGUCCGGGAGGUCUAAAAUAUCCAGAUUCAUCAAAAUCUCAACAUCGAAUCUUUGGACGAUUACAAUACGUUCCCUAUACUUCAUAUACGCGAAAGUCAGGGAGAUGUAAAACGUCAAGAGUCAUCAAAAUCUUGAAAUAGAAUUUUUGGACAAUUACAAUACUUUCCUUACAAUUCAUAUACGAGAAAGUCCGGGAGGUCUAAAACGUCGAGAUUCAUCAAAAUCUCGACAUCCAAUCUUUGGACGAUUACAAUACUUUCCCUAUACGUAAUAUAUGAGAAAGUCCGGGAGGUCUAAAACGUCGAGAUUCAUCAAAAUCUCGACAUCCAAUCUUUGGACGAUUACAAUACUUUCCCUAUACGUAAUAUAUGAGAAAGUCCGGGAGGUCUAAAAUAUCCAGAUUCAUCAAAAUCUCAACAUCGAAUCUUUGGACGAUUACAAUACGUUCCCUAUACUUCAUAUACGCGAAAGUCAGGGAGAUGUAAAACAUCAAGAGUCAUCAAAAUCUUGAAAUCGAAUUUUUGGACGAUUACAAUACUUUCCUUACAAUUCAUAUACGAGAAAGUCCGGGAGGUCUAAAACGUCGAGAUUCGUCAAAAUCUCGACAUCCAAUCUUUGGACGAUUACAAUACGUUCCCUAUACUUCAUAUACGCGAAAGUCAGGGAGAUGUAAAACGUCAAGAGUCAUCAAAAUCUUGAAAUCGAAUUUUUGGACAAUUACAAUACUUUCCUUACAAUUCAUAUACGAGAAAGUCCGGGAGGUCUAAAACGUCGAGAUUCAUCAAAAUCUCGACAUCCAAUCUUUGGACGAUUACAAUACUUUCCCUAUACGUAAUAUAUGAGAAAGUCCGGGAGGUCUAAAAUAUCCAGAUUCAUCAAAAUCUCAACAUCGAAUCUUUGGACGAUUACAAUACGUUCCCUAUACUUCAUAUACGCGAAAGUCAGGGAGAUGUAAAACGUCAAGAGUCAUCAAAAUCUUGAAAUCGAAUUUUUGGACGAUUACAAUACUUUCCUUACAAUUCAUAUACGAGAAAGUCCGGGAGGUCUAAAACGUCGAGAUUCAUCAAAAUCUCGACAUCCAAUCUUUGGACGAUUACAAUACUUUCCCUAUACGUAAUAUAUGAGAAAGUCCGGGAGGUCUAAAAUAUCCAGAUUCAUCAAAAUCUCAACAUCGAAUCUUUGGACGAUUACAAUACGUUCCCUAUACUUCAUAUACGCGAAAGUCAGGGAGAUGUAAAACGUCAAGAGUCAUCAAAAUCUUGAAAUCGAAUUUUUGGACGAUUACAAUACUUUCCUUACAAUUCAUAUACGAGAAAGUCCGGGAGGUCUAAAACGUCGAGAUUCAUCAAAAUCUCGACAUCCAAUCUUUGGACGAUUACAAUACUUUCCCUAUACGUAAUAUAUGAGAAAGUCCGGGAGGUCUAAAAUAUCCAGAUUCAUCAAAAUCUCAACAUCGAAUCUUUGGACGAUUACAAUACGUUCCCUAUACUUCAUAUACGCGAAAGUCAGGGAGAUGUAAAACGUCAAGAGUCAUCAAAAUCUUGAAAUCGAAUUUUUGGACGAUUACAAUACUUUCCUUACAAUUCGUAUACGAGAAAGUCCGGGAGGUCUAAAACGUCGAGAUUCGUCAAAAUCUCGACAUCCAGUCUUUGGACGAUUACAAUACUUUCCCUAUACUUCAUAUACGCGAAAGUCAGGGAGAUGUAAAAUGUCGAGAUUCAUCAAAAUCUCGACAUUGAAUCUUUGGACGAUUACAAUAUUUUCCCUAUACCUCAUAUACGAGAAAGUCAGUGAGAUCUAAAAGGUCGAGAUUCACCAAAAUCCAAUCUUUGGACUAUUACAAUACUUUCCCUGUGCCUCGUAUGCGAGAAAGUAAAAAGCGUCGCACUGUAUGGAGUUGUUGCCGUCAUCCUCAUGGCACUGUAUGGGCGACGUUACCAUCAUCAUACCUCAUAUAAUCAAGCCUUCAGGAUCUGUACGUGCGCACAUAUAACGUCUGAUGUGCCCAAUGCUCUCGUCACCCUGAAUUGGAUUAAGCAGGUUUGAGAACGCGGUGGAUGAUUAUGACUCAGAUCUAUCUACCCAUCUAAUGACUUGUGUGCUCAAUUAUUUUCCAUGUAAUAGUCGCAUGCAUGGUUUUUUAUUUGUUUUUAUUUUCACGCAUAUUAUUAAAUAUUUCAAAACUUUUUUUUUUUUUUUUAUUAAAAAAAAAUAAAUAUAAAAAAAUCAAACCACUGGCACUGUUCACUUUUCACCACCAGCAUGCUGUACUGGCCAUUUGCUGCUUAUCUUGAAAUAUUAAUACUUGUAUUGAUGUGAAAUAUUAUCUGUGUAACAGUAUCAUGCCAAUCAAACUCGAUGCAUGUUUUAUGAGUGUUAGAGACUAUUUUUAUGAACUUGAAAACGUAGCACAUUUCAUUGUAAAUUUUAUACUUUGAUCCCGUGUGUCGUGAAUGGCUACGGACAUAACGUGUGCUGAUUUCAGCCAAAGCAAUCGUCUGCUGUACGUCGCCGUGUACUCUCAGCUGCCGUCUGCAAUGCUAAAUUAAAACCGGGCUGCGACCUGGAAUGUAAUAAAAAAGUAUAUAUUUAGAGAUACAGCUUUAAAUCAGUCUUUCUUUACAUUAGUGAGGCCAAAAAAACCAAAACAUAUCUAGUUGUGUGAUACUUCAUACUUGUUAGAAGUGCAAUAAGAUCCUGUAUUGUCAAUAUUGUGCUGCAAGCCUUGCUGAUGCUUUUGUGACAUUGGGUUUGUCAUUUGUACAUUCUGUAUAAUGAGAUUUCUUUAUGGCAGUGAUAGUGAUGAAAACGGAAUAAAAAUAAAAUGUACAAACUCA